rnacentral:rRNA from 1 species
GUAAAGCUACAUACGAAUAUUAUAUUUGGUUAAUUAAUAAAAAUUAUAUAGUUUUAUUUUUGUAGUAGUUAGGACUAUGAGUAUAAAGAAAUUUAAUAAUGGUUACUAAGUCGUUAGAAGAGACUAAACCACAGUGCCAGCAGUCGCGGUUAAACUGUUUACUUCUCGUUUUAUUUGUAGGUUUAAAGAAUUAUUAAAUAAGCUAGAAAGUGUGUUAGUAAAAUAGGCUUUUGUCGGAAAAGAGUUUAAUAAUUUUUUUAGAGAGUCUAAGAAAAAUGGGGAUUGGAGACCCCUUUAUUGGACUUCGAAAUUUUAGUCCACAGUUAGAAACUGAAAGGGUUUGGCGGUAAACUAGAUUCGUCCGGGGGAAUGUGCAUAUUAAAGAGAUGAUCCGCUAAUUAUUUUACUAUAAUGAUUUCAGUUAGUGUAUAUCCGUUUGUAGAUUUACGUCGAGAGACAUUAAGUGAGUAGUAAUUAAAUAAUUUAAGACAGGUCUAUAUGCUGCUAAUAUUAUAGGUGGUUGUGCGUUACAAUAAUAAGUUAAGUGGAUGAAAUUCGCUUAAAAAUUUAGGACUCGGAAGUAGGAGUAAAAU